CCCCGCCGAAUAGUAGCAAUAUUAUUUUUGCGUUGCUUUUCAUUGCUCACGUUUCUCGUUGAAUGUAAAUGCAAGUACAAGUGCGCUGUGCUGUUUUUCCUUUUUGUUUGUAGUGAUUCUCUUGAAUACGUAAUUCUAGAGUUUAAAGAUUGUACUUUCAACUUUCUCGUGCUAAAGUGAGCUAAUUUCCAUAGCUAACAUCUACCUUUAACAUAACGUCAAUUACCUACUUGGUAUUUGCUAAGCUAAUGUUCACAGGUUUGAAAGUGUAGCUAUUUCAAAUCACUGGAUUAGUCGAGAUAUAAUGUUGAUUUUGCAUUAAUCUAUGAUUUAUAUGUUGGGUAGAUAUAGUUUGUUAUGAGUAAAGUUCCUUGUUAGUCAUAUACUAUGUAUGGCAUGUUAGACAUUGAAUGGUGUCAGAGCCGCGGUGAAGGCGACGGCAUGUGGUACGGCGCGCGGGUGAUCUUACUCGCGGCGCUGGGCUUACUGGCCAGGCCUUCCGCCGCCGAACUCGACAAGAAAUUCAACAUUACCAUCGGCUAUCUGCCUUCUAUAACGGGCGAGCGCCGAGAUAGACAGGGGCUAGCCAUCUCAGGCGCUCUGUCUAUGGCCCUUGAGGAUGUGAAUAAUAGCACAAAACUCUUGCCCGAUGUAAAGUUAUUGCUUAAGUGGAAUGACACGCGGUGUGAUACGGUGACUGCGAUAAGGAUGCUCACUGACAUGACCUGCUCCGGCGUCGUUGCCUUCUUCGGCCCGGAGGGGCGCUGUCACACCGAGGCUAUCGUUGCCAUGUCCAGGAACCUGCCCAUGAUCUCAUACAAAUGUUCUGAUUACCAAACCUCCAUGUUAUCAAACUUUGCGAGAUUGGAGCCACCUGACACACAAGCAACGAAAUCUGUAAUAGCGCUUCUGAGGUACUACAGAUGGAAUAAGUUUUCAAUAGUUUACGAGGAGUCUUGGGUGACGGUAGCACUGACGCUCGAAAACCACGCAAAGAAGAAUAAUUUAACGGUGAAUCAUCAGCGGCCAGUCAUCGACGGGUUCAAGUGCUGCGAAGAGAAAAUGACAUGUUGUGCGCCUGGGUUUUGGUAUCAAUUUAUACAGGAGACCAAAAAUAGAACCAGAAUAUACGUCUUUUUGGGUUCAACUGCUGGCUUAAUAGAUAUGAUGACAGCCAUGGAGUCGUUGCAAUUGUUUGCAAAAGGGGAAUAUAUGGUUAUCUUCGUGGACAUGAUGACAUAUGCCCCUAAAGAAUCACUGAAAUAUUUAAUUAAAACGGAGGAUCGCGGUACGACGCUGGUAUGCCCGAAGACUAACUGGGAGAUGCCGUUCAAGAAGCGCGCUCAGUCGCUGCUGGUGGUCGUGUCGUCGGAGCCAGAAGGCAGCUACGAGGUGUUCACGGGCCGCGUACGUGACUACAACAGCAUGAAGCCGUUUGAGUUCCCGGUGCCCCCCGCGCUAUUAGAAAAGAGCUUCAAUAAGUUUGUUUCAAUCUAUGCAGCGUAUUUGUAUGACUCUGUCAAACUGUAUGCGACUGCACUACACAAGCUUAUAGAAGAGGAGACGACCUACAAGAACGAAACUCUCGACUACAAGAAACUAAUGAGCAUCGCCUCUAAUGGAACUCUAAUUGUCUCGAAAAUGAUACAUAUUACUCCUUUUAAAAGUGUGGCGGGGAUGUCUAUCCGUCUGGAUGAGCGAGCCGACUCCGAGGGUAAUUUCUCUGUGCUUGCUUUCAAGAACUACACCAUUGAAGAUAUUAAGUGCAACGCUAGUAUGGUCGCCGUUGGACACUUCCAACAGAGUGGCAAAGAAUUUCCUGAAUAUAAGUUGAAUCCUCACGUCCCAAUCGACUGGCCCGAUGGGGUGAAACCAGAAGCGGAACCCUCGUGUGGUUUCCUCAAUGAGAAAUGUCCGAAAGACGACUCGCAGAUAACUUCGCUCGUACUGGAUUAAAUGGAAAAUACAACUUCAGUGUCUUUGCAAUCUUUUACACAAUAUCUGCCUAACUCGCCUCUAAAACACACACAAUCACCUCACAGCAAUUGGACGUAAGUAUCAUGCAUCAUCUAUAGACUAAAACAGUACACUGCUGGACUAAAGCCCUCAAGAGGGAAGGGUAUGUAUAUAAUCACCAUGCUGGGCAGACAGGUUAGUGAUUGCAUUACUAUGAAUAGUUUUGCCCGCAGCUUCACUCACAUUCAAAUAGAUAAAUGUAAAUAAAAUUCAGGUUUUUUUUCUACUGGAAGAAAUCUUGUUUUCUUCAUUUGUGACAAUUUGCAUUCAAAAUUUUCAUGAUGAUCACUUGAACAGUGUGUGAAAGUGUAACAAUCAAAUAACCCUGUAUUUGUAUUUUUAUUAUUAUUAGUUUGGAUGUUCUGUUAUGCUUCAUAACAAUAUUUUUUCAUAAUCUUCACUAACAUCAUCAUGCAUGCAACUUUCAGGCACAUGCCUGAAAGUUGCAUGCAUGAUGAUGAGUUGUGAAGGAACCCACAUGGGUUCCUUCACAAUGUUACUCUUCACCAUCAACGCAAGUGAUAUGUAAUUGCUAAACAAAGUAAAAUAUACAAACUGUAAUAUAAAUUAAAUGGAUAUUUCUGUAUUCCAGAUUACUUUUGUGACUCAACCUGUCAAUUUGAAGAACACAAAAAUUAACAAACAUUUUAAAAGAUGCAAGAAGUAUAUUAAUAAAAUAUACAGACUGAAGAAGAGGUUAAAAAAAGAUAAAAAUUCUGCAGCAAGUAGAAAAUCACUAUUAGACUCUCUCUCAAAGAGUGAGUACUUAGAAAAAUUGAAUGAAAAUUUAAAACCUGCAUUUGGUGUGCUUUUUUUUACAAAGCCUAUUUCUCAGGAGAUUCGGUAACAGCUGAUAGACUUCAAGCAAUUAUUAAAGAGGUAUUGGCAGAAUGUUACUUAAACAAUUUAAAAGUUGUAGCAACAGUGUAUGACAUGGAUGGAGUAAAUGUAAGAGCCAUAAAUUCCCUAGGGUCCACACUAGAGACACCUUAUUUUCAACUUCAAGGAAAUGAAAUUGUGACUAUUAUGAAUCCCCCACAUCUCCUCAAGUGUUUUAGGAACAACUUUUUAAAACACAAUAUUGAAUGUCCAGAAAAUUUUUCAAUACAUGGAACAACAGGACUGGCAAAAUGGAAGCAUAUCCAAGACUUUUUUAAAGUGGACAAUAAAAAUCCCAAUUUCGUAUUUGCACCUGCACUCACAGAACAACAUAUUAAUCCAAAUGGGAAACAAAAAAUGAAAGUGAAGUAAGCAGCACAAGUUUUAAGUCAUUCGGUUGCUGCAGGAUUGUUUGCUAAAGUUUCUUCAAAUCACAUUUCCCCUGAUGCUGUAGUUACAGCAACACUCAUCAGCAAAAUAGAUUCUAUAUUUGAUGCAUUAAAUGCUGAAAGUCCAGAUUUAAAAAGAGGGAAGAAAUUUUCAUCAAAUCUCAUUGUGGACAUGAGACAGUCAGUGACAGUGGACAUUUAGAGCUAUUCUCAGAAUUAAAAACAUUCUUUAAGAAUGUUAAAUUUAUUGGGGCUCGUUGUACCCCUCCUUCGGCCAAUGGGUGGAUACGAACAAUUGGGGCUGUAGAAAGGCUUUGGCAUAAUUUGCAAAAAUUAAAAAUACUGGCAAUUUCUACCCGAAGACUAAACCAAGAACCUUUAGAAAAUCUCUUUGGUUGUAUAUGGGGCCACUGUGGUUCCAAUCCUAACCCAAAUGUGCAACAAUUUAUUGCUGGUUUGAAAACCAGCAUUGUAAAUAAUUUAAAAUAUAAAUGUAAUGGUAAAAAUUGUGAAGAUGAUGCUAACACACUAUUAACUAAUAUGACCGCAUAUUUGAAAACUAGAACGCCUGUACCAGUGUCAUCACCUAAUCAGUUGUACGAUAUUGAUGUUACUGACAUUAAUGAGUACACAGAGGAUAAUGCGGAGAACAAGGCAUGUGCCUAUGUAUGUUGAUUUGUAUUUAAAAAACUUAAAAACAAUACAUGUAUUAGUUUCAAAGAAAUUAUGCUAUCGAAUUCUAUAGAACCAGUGCACAUAUUUAAUAGUUUUAAGGAAUAUAAUGAAAGAAAGUCUAGCUUGAACUAUGUUACUGCUGAGUUCAUACAAUGCGUUGAGUUAUGUGCAACUUACAUUAAUGAAUUUUUGAAUAUGAAUUCACAUACGGGAGAGUUAAAAAAAACAUUAAAUAUAAAAUUAAAGGCCAGAAUAUCCUUCAGCUGGUUAGAUGGAUGCAUGACUCAUAAAGUUGAAAACACUACUCAUAUUCUUAAUAGUGUGUUAGCAAUAUGCAUUAAAAGGUUUUGUAUUUUAAAAAACAGAACUUAUGCGGCAGAAGCUAGUAAAAAUUCAUU